rnacentral:rRNA from 1 species
GAACGAUGAACCUUCCUCCGGGAGGGGAAGAGUGGCGAACGGGUGAGUAACACGUGGGCAAUCUGCCCUGCACUCUGGGAUAACUCCGGGAAACCGGAGCUAAUACCGGAUACGACUCUCCAGGGCAUCCUGGGGGGUGGAAAGCUCCGGCGGUGCAGGAUGAGCCCGCGGCCUAUCAGCUGGUUGGUGGGGUGACGGCCCACCAAGGCGACGACGGGUAGCCGGCCUGAGAGGGCGACCGGCCACACUGGGACUGAGACACGGCCCAGACUCCUACGGGAGGCAGCAGUGGGGAAUAUUGCACAAUGGGCGCAAGCCUGAUGCAGCGACGCCGCGUGAGGGAUGACGGCCUUCGGGUUGUAAACCUCUUUCAGCAGGGAAGAAGCGGAAGUGACGGUACCUGCAGAAGAAGCACCGGCUAACUACGUGCCAGCAGCCGCGGUAAUACGUAGGGUGCGAGCGUUGUCCGGAAUUAUUGGGCGUAAAGAGCUCGUAGGCGGCCUGUCGCGUCGGAUGUGAAAGCCCGGGGCUUAACCCCGGGUCUGCAUUCGAUACGGGCAGGCUAGAGUUCGGUAGGGGAGAUCGGAAUUCCUGGUGUAGCGGUGAAAUGCGCAGAUAUCAGGAGGAACACCGGUGGCGAAGGCGGAUCUCUGGGCCGAUACUGACGCUGAGGAGCGAAAGCGUGGGGAGCGAACAGGAUUAGAUACCCUGGUAGUCCACGCCGUAAACGUUGGGCACUAGUGUGGGCGGCAUUCCACGUCGUCCGUGCCGCAGCUAACGCAUUAAGUGCCCCGCCUGGGGAGUACGGCCGCAGGCUAAACUCAAAGGAAUUGACGGGGGCCCGCACAAGCG